CGCCGCUGCCGCAGCCCUCCCGAGCCCUCUCCCAGUGCUAGGCUGGCCUGGCGCCGCUUCCCUCUGCGUCCCGCUGACCUGUCAAUUCACCUCACGGUUGGAGCGGGCGGAGACUGAGCGGGGACUCUUCGGCACCUCUUCCCCGCUCAGGCUCUGGAGCCCGCAAGUCCGGCGGUCAGUCGGUCCUUACGCCACGCUGAGGGACAUGGACUUCAUUUGGACAAGUUGAUUACUUUUCUGAGCCUUUCAAACUGCUGCUUCGCGUCACUGGAGACAGCCUGGUUUCCCCUGGAAAGAUCACUGAAGUCAGCUUAAGUGGGCCGAGGAAACCAUGAGAGACCUGUCACAAUGGAUUUCAUCUCUUCAUCUGCCCGGGAAGAAGGACUUGGUCAUUAAUGUAGAAGCACUAAGAAUCAUCGGAGCUGGAGAGUAUAGUCCAAUGGUGAGCUCAGAAGAGGAUAAUGGCUACUGGCCCCUGCCACAUCUCCAGACCUGGGAAGCCAUGUCACUGCUGCCUACAGCAAUAGGAAUGCCCUGUUUUUGAACCCCUAGCAGCCAGGGCAUAUUUUUACGAUGACACUUGCCACUCUGUCAGAUAUGCCCUUUGUAUCUCCUGGCUCCUAACACAAUGUCUAGGGAAUAGUAGGGGCUCAGUAAAUGUAUAUUGAAUGAAUGAAUAUAUGGAUUGUACUCUGUUGAAAUGUGUGGCUGUCAUCAAGUCAGCAGAGAGAGAACACAGGGAAUGGCCAAAGUAGUAUUAAAAUAUUUUAAUAGCCUAUAUUGAUGGACCAGAGCAAUAAAAUAAAAUUUAACUAGUGCAAAUGUAACUUAAAGUCUACAUUUAGUUAGUUUAAAAAAAAAAUCAAUUGCCUAAAGAGUGGAUGAUGCCUGAAGGGGUGCAGUCCAUAUUUUAAAAAGUCAGUAGUGGGUAAAUCUUACUAGGCUCUAAGCUCGAUGUGAAGUAAGAGUGUGAUGUAGCUGCUAAAACGGGGUUGGAUUCCGUAAGUAUAAACUGGGUCUAGAUCAAUGCAGGUGACAUUCCCUGUAGCUUUUGAACUCGCUCAGGUCACAAGUGGGGCAUGACGUUCAUUUGAGUUUCUAUUAUUAGCCAUACCUUAACUCGGGGCCAGUGCUUUAGUUUCUAAAGUGUUUUACCAGGCAUUAUCUUGUUACAUUGGCCUAAUAAGAUGGUUUAUAUACUGGCAAGAGCAAGCUAACUUGCUCAAGGUCACUUAGCUGGUGAGUGUCAGAGCACUGCCUUCUGACCCCUUUUCUGCUACAUCAUGCCACUUUUAUGUGGACCAGAGCCCCUGCUGUGCAGCCUCUAAAAGCAAGGCUGGCAUGAUGCUUGUCAAGUGCUGGCAACAGUGGACAUGCUCAGAUGGGCACUUCGCCAUCAGGCAGCCCGACAGUGAUGCCUCAGAAACCACUUUUCCUAACUCGGGAGGACUUUGACAUCCGUAAGCACAGUGACCCUGGCCUGUUUCAAAAUCAACAACAGAAAAACAUCAAACAUCACCUCACCUCUAAAUGAGUCCUGGAAAGGACAAAUCUCCAUUUUCUGCUCUUCAGAUCUUAUGGGAAGGAUUUGUGAGCCGGGUUGUGAAAUAGGAAGAGGAAAGGGAAAAGUGCUGAAAUCUGUCAGGUGCCUAUUAAAUGUCUGAGUCAAGACAUUUCACAUUUAAUUGAGUUUCCUGUUCUUAACACAGUACCUGUCUCUGCAGCCUCACUGCUCACCCUGGUCACCAUUUGACUGCUCUACUUCCUGGCGUUGGGCUGUCAUAAUAAUCUCUCACAUCCAUUGGUUUUCCCCAAUGGUUAUUUUAUCCACUUUCCCAAAGCCUGCAAAGAAAAAAAAAAUGUAUGAUCUUAUAUGUGGAAUCUAAAAAAGUUUAAUACAUAGAAGCAGAGUGUAAAAUGGUGGUUACCAGGGGUAGGGACUGGGGUGAUAUUGGUCAAAGGGUACAAAGUUGCAAUGAUGUAAGACGAGUGAGUCUCAUGAUCUAAUGUACAGCGUGAUGGCUAUUCUUAAUAACACUAUUGAAUACUGGAAAUAUGCUAAGACAGUAAAAUUCAGGUGCUUUCAUCACAGAAAGGUAACUAUGUGAGAUGAUAUGUUAAUCAGCUUGACUAGUAAUCAUUUCACUAUCUGUAUAUCAAAUCAUCAUUUUUAUUAAAAAAAAAAGGCAAAACAAAAAAGAGGUGGGUAGGACAGAGAUUAUUCCCUCAUUUCACAAUGACACACAAGAAUGCUCUUCCAUCCUUUUGUCCAUCCAGUCAUCAUCCAUCCAUCCAUCCAUCCAUCCAUCCAUCCUUUUAUUCAUUCUACUUUUUAUUAAACUACUCCUAUAGCCUAAGGUCUGUGUAAUGCACUAGGGAAGCAAAAAUGUCUGGCAAGCUAUUGGGAGCCAUAUAUAAACUCAUAAUAAAAAGAGGUUAUCAUUUAUAAGUAAGGGCUUAUAAAUAGGAAGGCCAUGCUUUCAGGUGGUGUGGUGGUGGGCUGUCAUUGCAGAUCUUGACCAGUAGGUGGCGUUCUGGGUUCCAGGAGGCUCGAGAGCCUUUUUCAGACUUCCAGGCCAAGCUUUCAUUUUAUAUUCAUCACCGUACUUAAAAUCGGAUUCUAAGUCAUAACAUUGAAAAGCUGUAUUCAAUUUGAUUUUAAUUCCAUUUAUUUGCCCUUAAUUGUCCCAUGCCUUUCUAAAAAUGGUCAAAUUAAAUCUAGUGUCAGGGCUUUCUGGGUAAGUGAAAGACAUAUCCAGGAAAUUUGGACUCCUAAAUAAAUUAGCAUCUCCAGUGACUGGUACUAGGUCCCAGAUUCCUUUCUUAGGAAAUGCUCGUGAAAAGUUAAUACUAUUGGGUAAAUAUGUGGAAGAAUACACUUUAAGAUGUUAGUUAUGAUAUCUCCCAGUGAUGGGAAUAGAGAUGGUUUUUGUUUUGUUCUUUAUGCUUGUACUUUAUUCAUUUUUUACAAUGAGUGUAUAUUAAUCUUUUUGUUUGUCUUUAGUUUUUCAUUGAAGUAUAACCCACGAAUGGAAAAGUAUGCAAAUCUUAAGCAGCUGGAUCUAUAUAUUUAUAUGCAUGUGUAACCUAUACCCAGAUUAAGAUACACAUUGUUAAAACCCCAAAAAGUUCCCUCAUGUCCUUUCUCAGUAACCCUCCUCACUCUUGCCCCCUGCCCGCCAAGAAUCACUAUUCUAUCAUCAUAGAUUACUUUUAAGUAUUUUUGAACUUUAUAUAUAUGGAAUCAUACAGGAUAUCUUCUUUUGUAUCUGGAUUCUUAUUCAAUAUUAUUUCUUUAAGUUGAUGUGUAUGAAUACAUAAAAACUCACCAAUCUGU